CCUACGGGAGGCAGCAGUGAGGAAUAUUGGUCAAUGGACGAGAGUCUGAACCAGCCAAGCAGCGUGAAGGAUGACUGCCCUCUGGGUUGUAAACUUCUUUUAUAAGGGAAUAAACCGAGGCACGUGUGCCCUUUUGCAUGUACUUUAUGAAUAAGGAUCGGCUAACUCCGGGCCAGCAGCCGCGGUAAUACGAAGGAUCCGAGCGUUAUCCGGAUUUAUUGGGUGUAAAGGGAGCGCAGCUGGGUUGUUAAGUCAGUUGUGAAAGUUUGCGGCUCAACCGUAAAAUUGCAAUUGAUACUGGCAGUCUUGAGUAGAGUAGAGGUAGGCGGAAUUCGUGGUGUAGCGGUGAAAUGCUUAGAUAUCACGAAGAACCCCGAUGGCGAAGGCAGCUUACUAAACUGAGACUGACAUUGAGGCUCGAAAGUGUGGGUAUCAAACAGGAUUAGAUACCCCAGUAGUC
rnacentral:rRNA from 1 species